AGUGAACGCUGGCGGUAGGCCUAACACAUGCAAGUCGAACGGCAGCACAGUAAGAGCUUGCUCUUACGGGUGGCGAGUGGCGGACGGGUGAGGAAUACAUCGGAAUCUACUUUUUCGUGGGGGAUAACGUAGGGAAACUUACGCUAAUACCGCAUACGACCUACGGGUGAAAGCAGGGGAUCUUCGGACCUUGCGCGAUUGAAUGAGCCGAUGUCGGAUUAGCUAGUUGGCGGGGUAAAGGCCCACCAAGGCGACGAUCCGUAGCUGGUCUGAGAGGAUGAUCAGCCACACUGGAACUGAGACACGGCCCAGACUCCUACGGGAGGCAGCAGUGGGGAAUAUUGGACAAUGGGCGCAAGCCUGAUCCAGCCAUACCGCGUGGGUGAAGAAGGCCUUCUGGUUGUAAAGCCCUUUUGUUGGGAAAGAAAAGCAGCAGGUUAAUACCCCGCUGUUCUGACGGUACCCAAAGAAUAAGCACCGGCUAACUUCGUG
rnacentral:rRNA from 1 species